ACAGAAAUCCCCCAUGAGCCAUGUUCUAGCCUUUUAAAAGGCCGGUCUUAUCUACACAAACAUUUUUUGAUCUGUCUUCUCAUCCUAUCCAAAAGGGGAAUUUUUCCUGGAUACAGACUGCAGGAUCGGCUCCACUGUAAGCACCUAGGCAUGCGGUAUAUGCAUUGUCAGAAAUGCCGAAUGACAACAUGCCACACCUACAGAAGGCUGAGAUACUGCUGAACAUGAAUGGGAAGAGGCUCAUAUAUUGGUUACACACAUUUCCCCAGCUAAUGUGAAAUCCAUCAGUAAGCAUAUGAUUUUGCAAGCUUUGUGGUGCUAGCUUGUGGUAACAGCACGUCAUCGGUUCCCAGGAAGCACUCCUCAUUCUGAGAGCAUGAUUACAUUAGCUUGCGAUGAUGGAGAUUCUAACCACUCCGCACAAAGUGAUACAGAUCA
rnacentral:lncRNA from 1 species